rnacentral:lncRNA from 1 species
AUGUGUAAGGUGACUGAAAAUGAAUUUGAAGGAGCUCUGAAGCUGGCCUAUGAACAAAACAGAAACUUCUCCUUUACCAUUAGUAGCAAAAAUGACCAGCAAAGUGAAGAGUUGAAUAUAAAAGCACUCCAGAAUCUCCCCUUCUUUCUACAGUACAUCCCCAGUGCAACAGAACUAUCUACUAAGGUAAACUCUGACAAGAGUGAAGUAAAAGGCAAACUCUACCUCAGCAUAGAAAAAAAGGAUUUUAAUGCUACAGCUAAGCUAACUUUCACUGGAACCAGCUACACCAAUGUCAUUGAAAUAAUACAGACAAUGUCCCAGUUAAAAAAUCUUCCAGUGCAGCUUGUGUUCAUGACAGUUUACCAAAAAGGCAACAGAACAUGUAUGCUGAGGCAAAUUGCUCUGUGGGAUGGCAAAGAGGCAAAGAUAACAGGCACUUACACAGGACUCUUUCCAAAGUUGCAUGGAGGUCAUGACAUUCAGGGUAAGUUUCUAAAUUCUUUUGUUGAUAGCAUACUAUACAAUAAACUAAGUCAUAUAAACCUGAUUCUAAAAUCCAUAUUCAAAUUGUCUCAGUCCAGGCCUUACAAGAUCUUAUUUGCUUCAAAUUCUUGAGAAGUUUGGCUGUUAGAAACGUCCACUUUGGAGACAUAUUUCUGCUUUGUGAAGCAUGUGAAACUUCAAUAACCUUUAGUAGUGCCAGGAAAAAGCUUAGCCAGACUGAAAAGUCAUCAACAAAUACAAACAUCUAUUACUAUUUUACAAUAAAUUUCAGAAGUUCUCUGAAUUAAAUGAAACA